AGAUUUGUUAGGAGAUCCCUAUUCCCUUCACUGAGCUACCAUUCCCAGAGUAGUUGAAGAAUAACACCCUUUUCUCAGUGAACUCUGGAAAUUGUAGCUCUUUGAGGGGAAUGGGGGUCUCCUAACAACUCU